ensembl:lncRNA
AUGGUGGUGGUGAUAGUGAUGGUGAUGGUGGUGGUGAUAGUUAUAGCGAUGGUGAUAAUGGUGAUGGUAGUGAUGGUGAUGGUGACAGUGAUGGUGGUGAUAGUUAUGAUGGUGGUGACAAUGAUGGUUAUGGUGAUGGUGGUGACAGUUACAGUGAUGGCACUGAUCACCGUGAUGAUGGUGAUGGUGGUGGUGAUAGUUAUAGUGAUGGUGACAGUGAUGGUGGUGAUAGUUAUGAUGGUGGUGAUGGUGACAGUGAUGGUGAUGGUGACAGUGAUGGUGAUGGUGGUGACAGUGAUGAUAGUGGUGGUGAUAGUUAUGAUGGUGGUGAUAGUUAUGAUGGUGGUGAUAGUUAUGAUGAUGGCGGUGAUGGUGGCAGUGGUGAUGGUGGUGGUGGUGAUAGUUAUAGUGGCGAUGGUGACAGUGGUGGUGACAAUGAUGGUGAUGAUGGUGGUGACAGUUACAGUGAUGGCACUGAUCACAGUGAUGAUGGUGAUGGUGAUGGUGGUGAUAGUUAUGAUGGUGGUGAUAGUGAUGCUGAUGGUGACAGUGAUGGUGAUGGUGACAGUGAUGGUGAUGGUGGUGACAGUGAUGAUAGUGGUGGUGAUAGUUAUGAUGGUGGUGACAGUUACAGUGAUGGUACUGAUCACAGUGAUGAUGGUGAUAGUGAUGGUGAUGGUGACAGUGGUGGUGACAGUGAUGGUGGUGAUGGUGGUGACAGUUACAGUGAUGGCAAUCACAGUGAUGAUGGUGAUGGUGGUGAUAGUUAUGAUGGUGGUGAUGGUGACAGUGAUGGUGAUGGUGGUGACAGUGAUGAUAGUGGUGGUGAUAGUUAUGAUGGUGGUGAUAGUUAUGAUGGUGGUGGUGACAGUGAUGGUGAUGGUGGUGACAGUUACAGUGAUGGCACUGAUCACAGUGAUGAUGGUGGUGAUAGUUAUGAUGGUGGUGAUAGUUAUGAUGAUGGCGGUGAUGGUGGCAGUGGUGAUGGUGGUGGUGGUGAUAGUUAUAGUGGUGAUGGUGAUAGUGAUGGUGAUGGUGACAGUGGUGGUGACAGUGAUGGUGAUGAUGGUGGUGACAGUUACAGUGAUGGCACUGAUCACAGUGAUGAUGGUGAUGGUGGUGGUGAUGACCAUGGUGAUGAUGGGGUUGGUGGUGGUGGUGGUGAUAGUUAUGAUGAUGGUGAUAGUGAUGGUGAUGGUGACAGUGAUGGUGGUGACAGUGAUGAUAGUGGUGGUGAUAGUUAUGAUGGUGGUGAUAGUUAUGAUGGUGGUGGUGACAGUGAUGGUGGUGAUGGUGGUGACAGUUACAGUGAUGGCACUGAUCACAGUGAUGAUGGUGAUGGUGAUGGUGAUGAUAGUUAUGAUGGUGGUGAUAGUGAUGAUGGUGGUGAUAGUUAUGAUGGUGGUGAUAGUGAUGAUGGCGGUGAUGGUGGCAGUGGUGAUGGUGGUGAUAGUUAUAGUGGUGAUGGUGAUGGUGGUGGUGAUAGUGAUGGUGAUGGUGACUGGUGGUGACAGUGAUGGUGAUGAUGGUGGUGACAGUUACAGUGAUGGCACUGAUCACAGUGAUGAUGGUGAUGGUGGUGGUGAUGAUCACGGUGAUGAUGGGGUUGGUGGUGGUGAGCUACAGUAG